UACGAAGGGGACUAGCGUUGUUCGGAAUCACUGGGCGUAAAGCGCACGUAGGCGGAUGUGUCAGUCAGGGGUGAAAUCCCGGGGCUCAACCUCGGAACUGCCUUUGAUACAGCACGUCUCGAGUCCGGAAGAGGUGGGUGGAAUUCCUAGUGUAGAGGUGAAAUGCGCAGAGAUCGGGAGGAACACCCGUAGCGAAGGCGGCACUCUGGGCCGUGACUGACGCUGAGGAGCGAAAGCGUGGGGAGCAAACAGG
rnacentral:rRNA from 1 species